AGUGGGUAUCAGAUAGGCAAAACCUGGGAUUAUGUUUUAAUGGCAUCUUAACUGAAUCUAAUUUUUUCAUUCGAACUUGCGAUCAACAAAGAGAAAUAUACUUAAAUUCGCAGUGUGGGAAGAAGAAUCAGGCAUUGGAUAUAUUAGAAGGCUAUCUUCCCCAAAUGCUACUGCAUUGUAUGGGUGAUCGACUAGACAGUUGUUGAUCGAGGGAGCGACAUAACCAAUGGAGCCCAUUAUUUCAACUGAAUUUGCAUCUUGUUCAUUUAGCUGCCGAGAAGUACUGGUGGGAUUUGAAAGGAACUGAGCCAAGCCAAAAUCACUCACAUGGGCAAUUAAAGCAUCAUCAAGAAGAACAUUGCUUGGCUUCAGAUCACAGUGAACAAGGGGCGUAACACAUUCAUGGUGAAGAUAAUUUAGGGCGGAAGCAACGUCAACUGCAAUGUUCAACCUUCUUUUCAGGUACAACUCCCCAAGGUUUCUCAAGCUACCAAUUUCCACUGGGACUGAACCAGUAAAUGAGUUAUUACUUAAGUCUAGCAUCAAUGAUAAAGAGGGAAGUCUGAAAAUUUGUACGGGGAUACUACCACUUAG